rnacentral:lncRNA from 1 species
GAGGUAGGGAGAGGGAGGGGGUAGGGCUGGGAUCCUGGGGCCUCCCUCCUGCUCCCUCCCUCCUCUGCUCAGAGGAGCCAACUUCAAAAGCCUUGUCUGCCUGCCGCCAGCCCGCCCUGCUGCAGCCUGUCCUGGGAAGCCCUGUUGGCCAGGCUUGGAGCAGGAGGUCCUGGACUGGCAGCCACACUCCCUACCUGAGGACCCAGGAUCAUAUGCAAGGCCCACUGGCAGGAGUGAAGGAGGGCCUCGCCCUGAGAGGCCCAUGGUGCAGGGGAUCCCAUUUCCCAUGGCUGUGAGAGCUGGUUGUGGCAGAUGCAUUGAUGAGGAGUGGGAGCAGGUGCCUCCCAAGCCUGUACUCUGGGCGCUCCUGCUGGCUCUGCUGGGUCUUGUGCCUGGCCAGGCAGGGCUCCGUGCCUGCAGCGUCCGCUCCGCCACUACCGUGCGGUCAUCUUUGAGGACCUGCAGGCCGCUGUGA